rnacentral:rRNA from 1 species
AUGAACGCUGGCGGCGUGCCUAAUACCUGCAAGUCGAGCGAACAGACGAGGAGCUUGCUCCUCUGACGUUAGCGGCGGCCGGGUGAGUAACCCGUGGAUAACCUACCUAUAAGACUGGGAUAACUUCGGGAAACCGGAGCUAAUACCGGAUAAUUUAUUAAACCGCUUGUUUCAAUAGUAAAAGCCGUUUUUGCUGUCAUUUAUAAUUGGAUCCCCGCCGCUUUAGUUAGUUGUUAAGUGAAAGGCUUACCAAGGCAACGUUGCGUAGCCACCCUGAGGGGGGGAACGGGCAAAAUGGAAAUUAGGAAAGGUCCAGAAUCCUAAGGGAGGGAGCAGUAGGGAAUCUUCCGCAAUGGGCGAAAGCCUGACGGAGCAAAGCCGCGUGAGUGAUGAAGGUCUUCGGAUCGUAAAACUCUGUUAUUAGGGAAGAACAAAUGUGUAAGUAACUAUGCACGUCUUGACGGUACCUAAUCAGAAAGCCACGGCUAACUACGUG